rnacentral:rRNA from 1 species
UGGGGAGUUUUGGACAAUGGGCGAAAGCCUGAUCCAGCAAUGCCGCGUGUGUGAAGAAGGCCUUCGGGUUGUAAAGCACUUUUGUCCGGAAAGAAAUCCUCUGGGUUAAUACCUCGGGGGGAUGACGGUACCGGAAGAAUAAGCACCGGCUAACUACGUGCCAGCAGCCGCGGUAAUACGUAGGGUGCAAGCGUUAAUCGGAAUUACUGGGCGUAAAGCGUGCGCAGGCGGUUUUGUAAGACGGAUGUGAAAUCCCCGGGCUUAACCUGGGAACUGCAUUCGUGACUGCAAGGCUAGAGUAUGGCAGAGGGGGGUAGAAUUCCACGUGUAGCAGUGAAAUGCGUAGAGAUGUGGAGGAAUACCGAUGGCGAAGGCAGCCCCCUGGGCCAAUACUGACGCUCAUGCACGAAAGCGUGGGGAGCAAACAGGAUUAGAUACCCUGGUAGUCCACGCCCUAAACGAUGUCAACUAGUUGUUGGGGAUUCAUUUCCUUAGUAACGUAGCUAACGCGUGAAGUUGACCGCCUGGGGAGUACGGUCGCAAGAUUAAAACUCAAAUGAAUUGACGGGGUCAUAGCUGUUUCCU